GGACUGGUUAGCUCAGUCAGUUGAGCAUGGCAUUAACAACGCCAAGAUCGCAGGUUCGAUUUCUAUUCGGUCCC
rnacentral:tRNA from 1 species